CACUAAUUAAUUACAAAUGAUGCAGCUCUACUACAUUGAAGAAAGAAUGAUGAACCAGCCUUUAAUUGUAAGUAUAUCGUUACAUACAUUUCUUCGCUUAUAAAUCUAAUUUCUGUGUUUCUUUAACACAGUGAUGAUUAU